UACGAAGGGGGCUAGCGUUGCUCGGAAUCACUGGGCGUAAAGGGUGCGUAGGCGGGGCUUUAAGUCAGGGGUGAAAUCCUGGAGCUCAACUCCAGAACUGCCUUUGAUACUGAAGAUCUUGAGUUCGGGAGAGGUGAGUGGAACUGCGAGUGUAGAGGUGAAAUUCGUAGAUAUUCGCAAGAACACCAGUGGCGAAGGCGGCUCACUGGCCCGGAACUGACGCUGAGACGCGAAAGCGUGGGGAGCAAACAGG
rnacentral:rRNA from 1 species